rnacentral:rRNA from 1 species
GACAGAGGGUGCGAACGUUGUUCGGAAUUACUGGGCGUAAAGCGCAUGUAGGCGGCAGCGCAAGUCGGGCGUGAAAUCCCACGGCUCAACCGUGGAAGUGCACUCGAAACUGCGCAGCUAGAGUCCUGGAGAGGAAGGUGGAAUGCUUGGUGUAGAGGUGAAAUUCGUAGAUAUCAAGCGGAACACCGGUGGCGAAGGCGGCCUUCUGGACAGUGACUGACGCUGAGAGUGCGAAAGCGUGGGGAGCAAACAGG